GAGCACGUAGGUGGGUUUGUAAGUCAGAUGUGAAAGCCUUCUGUUCAACGGGAGAAUUGCAUCUGAAACUGUGAACCUUGAGUAUAGGAGGGGAGAGUGGAACUUCUGGUGGAGCGGUGAAAUGCGUAGAUAUCAGAAGGAACGCCGGCGGCGAAAGCGACUCUCUAGCCUAUUACUGACACUGAGUGUGCGAAAGCUAGGGGAGCAAACGGGAUUAGAUACCCCGGUAGUCCUAGCCGUAAACGAUGGGCACUAAGUAGAGGGGUUUU
rnacentral:rRNA from 1 species